AGAGUUCGAUCCUGGCUCAAGAUGAACGCUGGCGGCGUGCUUAACACAUGCAAGUCGAGCGAAGCACUUAAGAAAGAUUCUUCGGAUGAUUUCCUAUUUGACUGAGCGGCGGACGGGUGAGUAACGCGUGGGUAACCUGCCUCAUACAGGGGGAUAACAGUUAGAAAUGACUGCUAAUACCGCAUAAGACCACAGCACCGCAUGGUGCAGGGGUAAAAACUCCGGUGGUAUGAGAUGGACCCGCGUCUGAUUAGUUAGUUGGUGGGGUAACGGCCUACCAAGGCGACGAUCAGUAGCCGACCUGAGAGGGUGACCGGCCACAUUGGGACUGAGACACGGCCCAAACUCCUACGGGAGGCAGCAGUGGGGAAUAUUGCACAAUGGGGGAAACCCUGAUGCAGCGACGCCGCGUGAGCGAAGAAGUAUUUCGGUAUGUAAAGCUCUAUCAGCAGGGAAGAAAAUGACGGUACCUGACUAAGAAGCCCCGGCUAACUACGUGCCAGCAGCCGCGGUAAUACGUAGGGGGCAAGCGUUAUCCGGAUUUACUGGGUGUAAAGGGAGCGUAGACGGAGCAGCAAGUCUGAUGUGAAAACCCGGGGCUCAACCCCGGGACUGCAUUGGAAACUGUUGAUCUGGAGUGCCGGAGAGGUAAGCGGAAUUCCUAGUGUAGCGGUGAAAUGCGUAGAUAUUAGGAGGAACACCAGUGGCGAAGGCGGCUUACUGGACGGUAACUGACGUUGAGGCUCGAAAGCGUGGGGAGCAAACAGGAUUAGAUACCCUGGUAGUCCACGCCGUAAACGAUG
rnacentral:rRNA from 1 species